rnacentral:rRNA from 1 species
UGGGGAAUAUUGGACAAUGGGCGAAAGCCUGAUCCAGCCAUGCCGCGUGUGUGAAGAAGGCCUUUUUGUUGUAAAGCACUUUAAGCGAGGAGGAGGCUACUUAGAUUAAUACUCUAGGAUAGUGGACGUUACUCGCAGAAUAAGCACCGGCUAACUCUGUGCCAGCAGCCGCGGUAAUACAGAGGGUGCGAGCGUUAAUCGGAUUUACUGGGCGUAAAGCGUGCGUAGGCGGCUUUUUAAGUCGGAUGUGAAAUCCCUGAGCUUACCUUAGGAAUUGCAUUCGAUACUGAGAAGCUAGAGUAUGGGAGAGGAUGGUAGAAUUCCAGGUGUAGCGGUGAAGUGCGUAGAGAUCUGGAGGAAUACCGAUGGCGAAGGCAGCCAUCUGGCCUAAUACUGACGCUGAGGUACGAAAGCAUGGGGAGCAAACAGG